GCCCCGGUGGUGUAGCGGCCUAGCACGUCACCCUUUCAAGGUGAAGAUCACGGGUUCGAAUCCCGUCCGGGGUACCA
rnacentral:tRNA from 1 species